UGGGGUGUAGCACAGUGGCAGAGUGUGUGCUCAACACAUGUGAGGCCCUGGGUUCAAUCACCAGCACCAAAA
rnacentral:tRNA from 1 species